CCAAUAGCGUAUAUUAAAGUUGUUGCAGUUAAAAAGCUCGUAGUUGAAUUUCGGGAUCAAUAUGCUGGUCGUGCCAUUGGUACGUACUGGUAUUAUUGAUUUCUCCUUUCUGAUGAAUCAUGAUGUCAUUAAUUUGAUGUCAUGGGGAAUCAGGAUUGUUACUUUGAAAAAAUUAGAGUGUUUAAAGCAGGCUCGCGCUUGAAUACAUUAGCAUGGAAUA
rnacentral:rRNA from 1 species